rnacentral:lncRNA from 1 species
GCUCAGCAACAGGGAAACCAGCUCCAAAAAUAACCUGGCACCUCCCCAGCAUACUGCAGCAGAAACCAAAGGAGUACCACAUAAAGUUCAGCAACCAGACCGUGACUGUCAUCAGCAAUUUUACCCAUACCCACUCCAAAAUCCUUUGGGAGUAUCCCAUCACCUGCAUGAUCCAACAUCCUUCUCUAAAUGUGACCCUGGUCCUGCCCACAGCCAGCCUGGAGCAGGGUCCAGACAGCAGCAUGGCACUGGCCAUUGCCAUUGCACUGGGGGUCCUGGUCCCCCUGAUCUCUCUUCUCAUUCUCACCUGCCCCUUCUUCCACUGCCUCAGGCACCUACGUGAUGCAGAGAGAAACCCAAGCUGGCCCUGCUGGGUAGGUCUGCCUUUCCUCAGGGUGCUGCAAAAUUCACCUCCACAGGUCUUGAGGUUCAAUACCAUGACCUGGCUUUACCCAGCCACACAAGGGCUGCCUGCACACUGCCCAAGCCAGGCUGAAACUGGGCUGGAGAGGGACACAGGAAUGAGCUCCCAGUCAGACAGCUGGGAAGGGGAAACCUGAUUGUGUAUAGCCAGCCUACAGGUGCUCAAGAGUGCUGGCAGCUAGAAAACAUUCAUUAUGCCAAUGACAAGGCACGCUGAAGUGGGAGCAUCACUCUACUAUUAUAUUUAUGCACAAAAUAGUUCUGUAAGCAAUGGGUCUUCUACAGCUCCUAAAAUAACCUCCCUCAGCACAACCAACGCAGCUCACGAAGGCAGCAACUUUGAGGAUGGGCCUCAAACAAAAUGUGGUCUUAGAGGAAAACCAUGCCUCUGUGAGGGAAGCCCAGGGUGCCACGCUGGGGCAUGGGCUGAGGCACUGCUGAUUGUACUCCAAGGCUAUCCUGGUGCAGGGGGUGCAGGAUACAAGCUUGAGGUGGGGAUAAACUGAGGUGAAGUGCAAUCGUUUCAGAAAAUCAUAGUCCAGUUUUGUGAAGUCUCCUCAUCCUCCUUGCAGUACAUGUCUAGCAUGUGCACCCUGGAUUCUGGUGAACAUUUUGGAAAAAAAGAA